rnacentral:rRNA from 1 species
UACGGAGGGUGCAAGCAUUGAUCGGAAUUACUGGGCGUAAAGGGCGCGUAGGCGGUUAUGAAAGUCAGAUGUGAAAUUCCAGGGCUCAACCCUGGAGCUGCAUUUGAAACUUCAAGGCUAGAGUUCAGUUAGGGUAAACGGAAUUCCACGUGUAGCGGUGAAAUGCGUAGAUAUGUGGAAGAACACCGGUGGUGAAGACGGUUUACUGGGCUGAAACUGACGCUGAGGCGCGAAAGCAUGGGGAGCAAACAGG